rnacentral:lncRNA from 1 species
CAGCUACCUGAAAAGGUGGCCAUCCUGCACAUCAAAGCACACCAAAAAGUGAGCUCUGAACUGGAAGAAGGACGUGAGCUGGUGGACAAAGAGGCAAAAGAUGCAGACAAAGGUAAGGUACUUAAAGAAGCAGUUGAGGCAACAUUAGCUCAUUAUAUGGGCGAAAGAUCGUGGGCAUUUUGCAGUGCCCUCGCUGCUUUUUGCAGUGGAAGAAUGGAUGGAUAUCGGGUAUUUGAUGUGGGAUACGGCAAUCAUGGGAAAGAGUAAAGACGUAAUAGCCCUCGGUUCAGUUUGGAAAGUUGUGUUAAAUGCCCUACGGGAUAUGAAGGCGGAGUUCUCAGUAGCAGCAGCCGCUAUAGACGCCAUGGCGCCGUCUGAUACAGACGCGCCGCAAUCACCCCCUGCCGAGUCCAAAAGUCGUUUGAGUGCAUUUUUCGGGGUUGGGCAUGUCCGGCCAGCGAAGGGGCUUACCGGAAAGCAGUGUAGCACAGUGUCGGAACUCUUAAAAUCCCAAGGGUGUGCCGAUGCGGCUCCAGCCGCGCCGGCAGAGCACUCUGUGGUUCCGGCCGUGCAGGCGAAACCCGCCGCGGCUCCAGUCACGCCGGCAGAGCCUAAACCGGAAGUUACCCUGCCGAAAGCGGAUGUAGAAAUGACGGCUGCCCCGGAUGGAGCGGGCGCCAGCUCCAGCAGGGCGGAGCCUGAUACGUCAGCAGAAACGAGAGCCGCAAAGUGCAAACCAAAGAUCUACCCUUCGACGCCAUCUACCGUUCACUGGGGAAGACCGCAGGACAUUCCUCUCCCCUCCGAUGACGACAUCUCUAUGCAUUCCGAUGAUGGGCAGCUUGCAACGGAAGCAGAGCCAACUGAUGACAGCGCAGCGGCUAAGAAGGAGCUACUGGGGUGGCAACAUCAAAUGGAGCAACUUGUACAACAGCUCCAAGUUCGAAUUGAACAAACAUUACGUGCACAUAAGGCGCAGCCUCAGCAAGAGAAAGCAGCUUCGCAGCAAACACCGAGACAACGAGCAGAGUCAGUCCAACAGCUACAGGAUAUGCUGCGUCCUGAGCCAUCUGC